rnacentral:rRNA from 1 species
AUGGGCCAGAUGAUGAAGCCACGGAAGACUGAAAUCACUGAGAAGCUGCGCCAAGAGAUCAAUAAGGUGGUUAAUAGAUAUAUUGACGAAGGUAUUGCAGAGCUUGUACCUGGUGUGCUGUUCAUUGAUGAGGUUCACAUGCUGGACAUUGAGUGCUUCUCUUAUCUUAAUCGUGCUCUCGAGAGCUCAUUAUCGCCAAUUGUAAUACUUGCUACAAACAGAGGAAUAUGUACUGUGAGGGGAACUGACAUGACAAGUCCACAUGGUAUCCCAGUCGACCUUCUAGAUAGGUUGGUUAUCGUACGGACACAGAUAUAUGGCCCUAUCGAGAUGAUCCAGAUAUUAGCUAUUAGAGCACAAGUGGAGGAGAUUGAAAUUGAUGAGGACAGUCUUGCAUUUCUAGGAGAGGUUGGGCAGCAGACAACUUUGAGACAUGCUAUUCAGCUGCUGUCACCUGCUAGCGUAGUUGCCAAGGCUAAUGGGAGAGAGAAGAUCUGCAAGGCUGAUCUCGAAGAAGUCCGUGGUCUGUAUUUGGACGCAAAGUCCUCUGCUCGUUUGCUUCAGGACCAGCAAGGAAGCUACAUCACCUAA